rnacentral:rRNA from 1 species
GUCUUAAUUGGGCGUUAAGUUGCAGGGUAUAGACCCGAAACCCGGUGAUCUAGCCAUGGGCAGGUUGAAGGUUGGGUAACACUAACUGGAGGACCGAACCGACUAAUGUUGAAAAAUUAGCGGAUGACCUGUGGCUGGGGGUGAAAGGCCAAUCAAACCGGGAGAUAGCUGGUUCUCCCCGAAAGCUAUUUAGGUAGCGCCUCGUGAAUUCAUCUCCGGGGGUAGAGCACUGUUUCGGCUAGGGGGCCAUCCCGGCUUACCAACCCGAUGCAAACUGCGAAUACCGGAGAAUGUUAUCACGGGAGACACACGGCGGGUGCUAACGUCCGUCGUGAAGAGGGAAACAACCCAGACCGCCAGCUAAGGUCCCAAAGUCAUGGUUAAGUGGGAAACGAUGUGGGAAGGCCCAGACAGCCAGGAUGUUGGCUUAGAAGCAGCCAUCAUUUAAAGAAAGCGUAAUAGCUCACUGGUCGAGUCGGCCUGCGCGGAAGAUGUAACGGGGCUAAACCAUGCACCGAAGCUGCGGCAGCGAACGUAUCACCCAAGACAACUUUACGGAGUUGACGAUUGACGGAGCGAAGCGACGUCAAAGCGUUCAUUAAAGUCGAGUUGGCUUAGGGAUACGUUCGUUGGGUAGGGGAGCGUUCUGUAAGCCUGUGAAGGUGUGUCGUGAGGCAUGCUGGAGGUAUCAGAAGUGCGAAUGCUGACAUAAGUAACGAUAAAGCGGGUGAAAAGCCCGCUCGCCGGAAGACCAAGGGUUCCUGUCCAACGUUAAUCGGGGCAGGGUGAGUCGACCCCUAAGGCGAGGCCGAAAGGCGUAGUCGAUGGGAAACGGGUUAAUAUUCCCGUACUUGGUGUUACUGCGAAGGGGGGACGGAGAAGGCUAUGUUGGCCGGGCGACGGUUGUCCCGGUUUAAGCGUGUAGGUGUGUGUUCCAGGUAAAUCCGGUUCACUUUAACACUGAGGCGUGACGACGAGGCACUACGGUGCUGAAGCAACAAAUGCCCUGCUUCCAGGAAAAGCCUCUAAGCAUCAGGUAACAUCAAAUCGUACCCCAAACCGACACAGGUGGUCAGGUAGAGAAUACCAAGGCGCUUGAGAGAACUCGGGUGAAGGAACUAGGCAAAAUGGUGCCGUAACUUCGGGAGAAGGCACGCUGACACGUAGGUGAAGUGAUUUACUCAUGGAGCUGAAGUCAGUCGAAGAUACCAGCUGGCUGCAACUGUUUAUUAAAAACACAGCACUGUGCAAACACGAAAGUGGACGUAUACGGUGUGACGCCUGCCCGGUGCCGGAAGGUUAAUUGAUGGGGUCAGCGCAAGCGAAGCUCCUGAUCGAAGCCCCGGUAAACGGCGGCCGUAACUAUAACGGUCCUAAGGUAGCGAAAUUCCUUGUCGGGUAAGUUCCGACCUGCACGAAUGGCGUAAUGAUGGCCAGGCUGUCUCCACCCGAGACUCAGUGAAAUUGAACUCGCUGUGAAGAUGCAGUGUACCCGCGGCAAGACGGAAAGACCCCGUGAACCUUUACUAUAGCUUGACACUGAACAUUGAGCCUUGAUGUGUAGGAUAGGUGGGAGGCUUUGAAGUGUGGACGCCAGUCUGCAUGGAGCCGACCUUGAAAUACCACCCUUUAAUGUUUGAUGUUCUAACGUGGACCCGUAAUCCGGGUUGCGGACAGUGUCUGGUGGGUAGUUUGACUGGGGCGGUCUCCUCCUAAAGAGUAACGGAGGAGCACGAAGGUUGGCUAAUCCUGGUCGGACAUCAGGAGGUUAGUGCAAUGGCAUAAGCCAGCUUGACUGCGAGCGUGACGGCGCGAGCAGGUGCGAAAGCAGGUCAUAGUGAUCCGGUGGUUCUGAAUGGAAGGGCCAUCGCUCAACGGAUAAAAGGUACUCCGGGGAUAACAGGCUGAUACCGCCCAAGAGUUCAUAUCGACGGCGGUGUUUGGCACCUCGAUGUCGGCUCAUCACAUCCUGGGGCUGAAGUAGGUCCCAAGGGUAUGGCUGUUCGCCAUUUAAAGUGGUACGCGAGCUGGGUUUAGAACGUCGUGAGACAGUUCGGUCCCUAUCUGCCGUGGGCGCUGGAGAACUGAGGGGGGCUGCUCCUAGUACGAGAGGACCGGAGUGGACGCAUCACUGGUGUUCGGGUUGUCAUGCCAAUGGCACUGCCCGGUAGCUAAAUGCGGAAGAGAUAAGUGCUGAAAGCAUCUAAGCACGAAACUUGCCCCGAGAUGAGUUCUCCCUGAGACUUAG